rnacentral:tRNA from 1 species
GGUCUUAUAGUUUAUUUUAAAAAUGUUAGAUUGCAAAUUUAAAGAAGAUUAAUAUCUAAGACUU